rnacentral:lncRNA from 1 species
AUUGAAUUUAUAAGAAUAAGGAUUAAGAUGUUUCAGAGAAGGCAAAAGAGAAAAGUAAAAUAAUUAAAAUGCACUAAGUUCUAAUAAAGUUGUCUUAGAAAUAAUAGCAACAAAAAUUAAAGACCGCUAUACCAAUUAUCUUAACAUCUCAUUCUGAUUAUCACUUAUUAACCAUGGCAGUCACUUAACCAUCUUGCCUUCAGUUUUCUCUCAUCUAUUAAUCUUAAUAAAAUAUUAAUAUGCAUAGUACAUAGUUAGAAACAUCAAUGGCAUAAUGUGUAAAAAUACUUUAAACAAUAAAGAAACCAUAUUUGAAUUAUUAUAAACUAUAUAUUGAUUAUAAGUAUAAUAAUGAGAUUGGGGAAAUGUACUUUUAAUAUUCCACAAAAUGACUUAUUAGUGCAAAAAUGAGUUAUCACCAUAGUAUUUUGUUCACUACCUGAUUCACUUUAUUAUAACAAACUUUUAUAUUUAAAUCUUUCAGGAGUUUCCUUGGCGGCUCAGCAGAUACGAAUUUGACUAGUAUCCAUGAGGAUGCAGGUGCGGCCCUAGAAAAAGACAAAAUAAUAAUAAUCAUAACAAAAAUACUGAAUCACUAAGCUGUACACCUGAAACUAACAUAAUAUUGUAAAUCAACUAUACUUCAAUAAAAAAAGAGUGCACAUUUUAACAGAAACAUAAAAUUGUAUUUGCCCAAAAUAUAAGAACUAUAAUUUGUUCAGAAUCUUUAAGUUUUAUAUUCUAAUGCAAAAUUUGAUGCUUGAUUGUCCUCAAUAAGUAAAACUGAUAUAGACAUUUGCUCGGCAACCGUAUGUUUUCCACAUAUCAAUAUUCAUUUCUGACUUUUUUUCCAUUUUACAUAGAACAUCAAUUGCUGAAAUAAUUUUGUCUCUAAAUCAGGAGUUAUUCAUUGAAUGCUUUAUUACAAUGGAGUCAAACAGACCUGUGUUCAAAUCUCAGCUCAAUUACUUACUCGCCAUAUGAUCUUGCUAAGUUUCUUCAUUUAUAGAAUGGAGAUAAUAUAUGGUAUCUUGUUUCACAGGUUACUGUGAAAAGUAAAUCAGAUAAUAUAUUUUAAGCAAUGGCACAUAGUACUAAACACUCAGUAAACAGGCAGCUGUUGUACCCAUGAUAUAGACUUAGCUCUAACCCUGCAAUAAUUACAGUCCUGUUUUAAACCAGUUGUACUUAAACAGAUGUGUCUAAAGAAGAACUCAAAAAAAAAAAAAAAUACUUGUGGGAGUUCCUUUCGUGGCUCAGUGGUUAACGAACCCAACUAGGAUCCAUGAGGAUGUAGGUUCAAUCCCUGGCUUUAGUCAGUAGGUUAAGGAUCCGGUUUUGCUGUGAGCUGUGGUGUAGGUCACAGAUGCGACUCAGAACCUGUGUUACUGUGGCUAUGGCAUAAGCUGGCAGCUGUAGCUCCAAUUCAACUCCUAGCCUGUGAACUUCCAUAUGCUGUGGGUACAACCCUAAAAAGCAAAAACAAUACUUUUAAGGUAUAGGCACACAGAGUUACAAAACUACCCUCUAAUAACUUUGAAAACACUGUUUAAAAUAUUAAAUGUAUUAAACCUUUUACAAGUCCAUUUCCACAUCCAUUUAUUAACAAUCAAAAUACUGGAUAUGUAAAAAUGCCAAAUUCAAAUUUUCUACUUCUCAUUAGACAUUAUUUUAUUCAAUAAAAUAUGUGUUUAUACAAGCUCUCUUAGCAAUAAAUGCUUAAUUAGAAUAAAUGUAUUGGGAGUGGGUGAAGAAUCCAACUGCAGCAGCUCGAGUAGUGGUGGAGCUGUGUGUUUAACUCUAGGCCCAGGGUAGUGGGUUAAAGGAUCCAGGGUUUCCGUAGGUAUCUGCUUCCGUGUAGGUUGCAGCUGCGGCAUGGAUUCAAUCCCUGGCCUGGGAACUUCCAUAUGCUGUGCGUGUGGCCAUUAAAUAAAUAAGUAAAGGUAACGCUUUUAAAUCCUUGUAGAGAUUUAAGAUACAGAAGGAGUAGCUUUCCUCUACGACCCACUGCUAAUUUGGGAUUUACUGGUUUAUAAAAUCAGAAAGACAAGGCCCUGUGAUCACUGUUCCCACAUAAAGAGAUAUCUUUAACAUUAUCAUCAUGGCCAGAUGUGCUCAGGACUUACAGCUGCUCUGCUACUAUGUCAAAAAAGUCUCAGUCUUAUCUCUGUUGGUACAAGUUUCUACGUUUUGCUGUCGUUCAACUUAGCUAUUUAGCUCACCAAUUUAGAACAGUCUUAAAGUGCGAAAUAAAAAUAAUGUAGUGGCUACAUAUUCAUUCAUUAAAAAUAUAGUAAUAAUUGAAGGUCUACUGUGUGCCAGGCACUGUUUUAGGCAUGUCCCUGCUCUCAUGGAAUGUACUUUCUAGGACAGGAUAACAGAAAAUAAACAAAUAACUAUAUUAAUUAUCAUAUUAAUAAAUAAAAAGAAAAACAGGGUAAAUUAAGGGGGAUAAAAAGUUACAGGAGAUAUGCUGCAAUUAUCUGCAAUGUGUUCAGGGAAGGAUUCUUUCUGAAACCAUAACUGAGCAGAGACCUAACAGAGGGGAAACAGCAAUCUGUGUAGACAUCAAGGGAAGAAGCAUUCUAGAACAGAAAACACAAAGGGCAAAGCCCACGAAGUGUUCCAGGAAAAGCAAGGCAACUUCUAGAGAUAGGGCAGAGGGAACAGAGGGGGAAAGGUAUCAGGUGAAGUUAAACAAGCAGCAUGGAGUUAUAUCAGGUAGGAUAUUAUAGGCUGUUUUAAGGGCUUUGGAUCAUAUUUUGAAUUAUAAGAGAAGCCCUUAGAGUAUCCUGAGCAGAGAACAUAAAUUGAAUUAUGAUUAAAAAUUAUGACUGCUAUGUGAAAAAUAAGCUACACAGAACGAAGGGAGAAGCAGGGUAACCAGAGGCACAAAUGACAGAUUCAUGUCAAACAUAAAUGAUUAGCCACAGGAGAGAUAAAAUUUCCUGGACUUAAUUAACAAACAUGGUGACCUAGACCUUCUAUUCCCUGUGACAGGACUGCAUUAGAUGCUAGCACCUGUUCCAUGUCAAACAGAACAAAUUAUGAAAAAAAAAUCAUUGUUUGCAAGGCAAAUGACACUUCACUUACAAAGAUUUUUUUCCAUAAUGUACAUUAACCCGUAAAGCUUUAGAUGUACAUCCCCAAAUCUAUCAGAUUCAUAAAAGUCAAACUACAAUACAGGAAUGAAUUAUUCUACUUCCAGGAAUGGGAAAGUAAGACCAAGACUAAGAUUAACUAAAAAAACUUGACAAAAAAUAAUUAAAAGCAAAAACUUUAAAACCUUUUGCUCAAGGAGUUCCCUGAUGGUGUAGUGGGUUGAGGAUCUGAGGAUGGUGUAGCCAGUUGUCACUGCUGUGGCCUGGGGUUUGAUCCCUGGCCGGGGAACUUCUGCAUGCUAUGAGCAUGGCAAAAAUACAAACAAAAUUAAAAUUUUUAAAAUAAAAUUAAACAAUUUGCUUGAAGGCCUUGGAGACCUAACAACAACAUAACAAUUUAUAGUUGAGGAUCCAGGAGCAGCCCAGAAGUAAACUCAGUCAUCUGAGGUGCUUCUUCCCGCCUCCUUAAGAAAAGCUGAUAUUCAAAUGGCCAGUCACGGAGUUUCCAUUGUGGCACAGUG